rnacentral:rRNA from 1 species
UAAGCGUCCUUGGGCGAGAGUAGUACUAGGAUGGCUGACCUCCUAGGAAGUCCUCGUGUUGCACCCC